GAUGAACGCUGGCGGCGUGCCUAAUACAUGCAAGUCGAGCGAACGGACGAGAAGCUUGCUUCUCUGAUGUUAGCGGCGGACGGGUGAGUAACACGUGGAUAACCUACCUAUAAGACUGGGAUAACUUCGGGAAACCGGAGCUAAUGCCGGAUGAUAUUUUGAACCGCAUGGUUCAAAAGUGAAAGACGGUCUUGCUGUCACUUAUAGAUGGAUCCGCGCUGCAUUAGCUAGUUGGUAAGGUAACGGCUUACCAAGGCAACGAUGCAUAGCCGACCUGAGAGGGUGAUCGGCCACACUGGAACGUAGACGCGGUCCAGACUCCUACGGGAGGCAGCAGUAGGGAACCGUCCGCAAUGGGCGAAAGCCUGACGGAGCAACGCCGCGUGAGUGAUGAAGGUCUUCGGAUCGUAAAACUCUGUUAUUAGGUAAGAACAUAUGUGUAAGUAACUGUGCACAGCUUGACGGUACCUAAUCAGAAAGCCACGGCUAACUACGUG
rnacentral:rRNA from 1 species